GUGUCAGGGGCAGCUGCUGGAAGGAGGCGCAAGCACCACGGAGAGUCUGGGAUGCCCAGCCAAGGAGCCCUGGAAGGGUUGCCCUGGGGACUGACACUGUGGGCUCUGUGUUUUAGCCAAGUCACCCAGGCAGCUGAACAGAAGAUGGACUGGAGGGAGAAGCCUGGAUGUAGGAUCGCUCAGCAACAAAGGAGCCAGAAAAGGCAAGGUGUACACACCGUGUGCAGCAUGGGCGAGCUGCAGGCAUGCAGGUAAGAGUGUGUGCAUGCAGGUGUGUGCACACGAGUUUGCAUGUGCUGAUGCAGAUGGCUAUGAUGCGUGGUGGUGAUAUAUACAUGUGGAUGCUUAUGGAUCUGUGCCAACCAUUAUUAAGCACAUAUGUAUACCCGUGUGUGUAUAUGCAUGCAUGUGUUUGUGUGAGUUGCAAUGUGUAUACAACUUUACACAAUAAGUGAAUUGAGUACAUGUACCUGUUUAUCCACGGAAGUGUAUGAUGACUGGACAUAUGUAAAUAUGUGUAUUUGCAUGUGUUUAUACUUUGUGCAUAGAUGCAUGUUUGUGUAUUUAUGCUGAUCCAUUUAAGCGUAUGGGAUGUGUGUGGAUGUUUGUGUAACAUCUGUACAUACUCCAUAGGUGCAUCUUAAUACAGGAAUAUGGGUGCGAUGUGUAUGUGUGUGUGUGUGCCUGUGUGAACAGGUGCGGCUGGAGGUCUAUGAGUGUGUGGAUAGGUAUAUUUGCCUGUGCGCAUGUGCGAUUCACGUGGUGUGAGUGCACAUGGUCGCAGGCAAAUGUCUGUGUGGGCACACACAUGCCCUGUUGCCCUUUUCUGUCUUUUCCUGUUGGGAAAUUACAGAACUUCUGAGUCCUAACCAUGGCUGGUGGCUCUUCCAGGAACAUGGUUUCCUGGACCCAAAAGGUAAGCUUGUCAGGGACCCACGUGAAUGAGGAAGUGGGUGGGCCUGAGUCUGGGGCUCCUCUGAGAACUGCUGUGGACCAGGGAAAUCUUGCUGCCACCUCUGGUCUUUAGUCCACCUCUCAGUAGUAGCUUUCAAAGCUUGAUUUUUUUGGAGGCGUCUCCACGGAGCAUAGUCCUAAGCUCCUAGCCUACAUUGUCCCUGUUCCUGGGCCUGUUUGGUUGACAUUCUCUUACAGUUUAAAAAAGACAUCCACAUCCGUACUCUUAGCUAAUCCUUGUGACCUUUCUUCUAGUCUGUUUGGAGAGGCUGGGAGCAGAGUGGUUAAAAGAGCCAGGCCUGGUUCCAUUUCUGACCCCUCUUCUAGCUGAGCAACUUCCGCCUCUUCCAGCCUCCCUCACGGGAAUCACAGAUCACAUGAGGAAACUGAGGCUUGGAGAGGCUCUCUGCCUUUGUCAACCUGGAGAUGCUGGGAAGGAAGUGAGGCCCAUCCCACCUCAGAUGCCUGUCCUCUGUCGUCAGGAGCAUUCUCUUGUUCUUCCGGGCUUGGCCAAGCGGUGGUAAACCCCACAUGUGGUUCUGUGGUUGCCCACACAGUCCUAAAAAUAGCCAACAGGAACCCAGGGGCUCCCCCUUGGUGAGUGGCAGCAGGCCCAGUCCUCAGGCAGCCACCAACCUGCUCACUCCCCACAGGCAAGCAGGUCCUGUCUAGGAAGGGGCUGGGUGGCCUGGGUCCCAUGCAUGAUGAGCCAGAGGCUGUGCCAAGCUUAUAGCAAAUAUUAUUUUAUUUCAUUAUGUUUUCUUACAUCUGUGAUGUGGAGGCCAUAGCUCCACUGGACUCAUGAGGAGACUGAGGCUCAGAGCAAUGAAGUGACCUGCUCAAAGUUAAGGAGCUUCAGUUUGGACCCAAUUUGUUCUGAUCCUAAGGUCACUAUCCUUAAUCCCUCUCCCUGUGGGGUCUUCCCUAUCUUGAGCCUGUGGACAGCUGUGCAGUGGCAAGAAAAAGGCCUUCAGAGCUACGCAGACCUGGCUUCAAAUCCCAGCCUCCCUGAUGAGCCCUGGUGGUCUUGCAUGCUUGCCCUUGGGACUCAGACACCAUAUUGUGAGGAAGCCCAAGCUACAUGCAGAGGCCACUAUAGUUGUUCUGGCCAACAGCCCAAGCUUCAGCUGCCAGACAUAUAAAUAAACCAACUCUUCAAAUGAUUUCAGUUUCCAGACUUCAGUGCAUCCCAGGAAUGCCUUCUUCAUCUGUUGAAAUCCAGCCCAUCUAUGAAGAGUCAAAGGCCGCCUUGGCCGUGAAGGCCUCUGGUGCUGUGGGCCCAUGCCAGGGCCCAGGCCCAGGGGUUCUGCAGAGACCACCAGGAUCCCAGCAGGACAAUAGGAAAUCUCAGCAGAGGCAUUCCAGAACACGGAAAAGCCAGUUCCUGAUGAAUCCAGAGGAUGUUCAAAGCUCACCAGGCCAAUGAACCCCGACGGAUUCCCCAGUGGGCCCUCUCUCCUUUCCGUAGAUCUUCUAGGAGUUUUACCAUUUAAAGAGAACUGCAGGAGGCCAUCUUAACCAGACUGAGCUGUAACGCUCACUGCGAAGAUCUGCAGCUUCACUCCUGAGCCCAGCGAGACCGUGAACCCACCGGGAGGAACGAACAACUC
rnacentral:lncRNA from 1 species